rnacentral:lncRNA from 1 species
AGGGCCUGCUCUCUGGCUCAUAGAUGGUGCCUUCUUGCUGCAUCUGCAUGGUAAAAGGGGUGGUGAUCACAAUGCUGACCCGAGAAGAAAAUUGCGAGUAGCAAUGAUGCAGAGGUCUCCCUGCAAGCUACAGUUCAGAAAUUUAAGCCUUCUAGAAAGAGAAUCUUCAGAACAACCAAACCAUUUUCCUCAGCAAAGGACUGUACCAGGUACUCUUAACUAUCAAUUUACAGAGAAGGAAACUUGAACAGGUUUUUCACUAUAACUUGACAUUACCGUGGAGACUUGUCAAAUCAAGGCUUUCAUUUUUAUUUUAUUUUAUUUUUUGGCCCUUUGGCAAAUGACUUAGUGAUAGAAGACUCAGUAGCCUGAGAUCAGCAGAACAGAAAUUAAUUACUUAACAUUUAAGGAACUGAUUGAACAAUGUUUGAUGUUUUGCUUUUUAAUGGACAUAGGAGAAAUGCCAUGUCUUUCUUAUCUACCUCUAACUGUCAAUUUAAUUGGUUAUACUGAGCUAAGUGGAAUAAAA